GAUGAACGCUGGCGGCGUGCCUAAUACAUGCAAGUCGAGCGAACAGACGAGGAGCUUGCUCCUCUGACGUUAGCGGCGGACGGGUGAGUAACACGUGGAUAACCUACCUAUAAGACUGGGAUAACUUCGGGAAACCGGAGCUAAUACCGGAUAAUAUAUUGAAUCGCAUGGUUCAAUAGUGAAAGACGGUUUUGCUGUCACUUAUAGAUGGAUCCGCGCCGCAUUAGCUAGUUGGUAAGGUAACGGCUUACCAAGGCGACGAUGCGUAGCCGACCUGAGAGGGUGAUCGGCCACACUGGAACUGAGACACGGUCCAGACUCCUACGGGAGGCAGCAGUAGGGAAUCUUCCGCAAUGGGCGAAAGCCUGACGGAGCAACGCCGCGUGAGUGAUGAAGGUCUUCGGAUCGUAAAACUCUGUUAUUAGGGAAGAACAAAUGUGUAAGUAACUAUGCACGUCUUGACGGUACCUAAUCAGAAAGCCACGGCUAACUACGU
rnacentral:rRNA from 1 species